rfam:Caenorhabditis brenneri strain PB2801 C_brenneri-6.0.1_Cont7.35, whole genome shotgun sequence.
UGUUGUUCUGACUGUUUCAAAAGCUUAUAUUGUUCGUUCAAAGUUACUUAUAAGCUCGUGAUCAACAGGCAGGACAACUA